rnacentral:misc_RNA from 1 species
GAUGAAAACGCAGCGAAAUGCGAUAAGUAAUGUGAAUUGCAGAAUUCAGUGAAUCAUCGAAUCUUUGAACGCACAUUGCGCCCGCCAGUAUUCUGGCGGGCAUGCCUGUUCGAGCGUCAUUUCAACCAUCAAGCCCUGCUUGCGUUGGGGUCCUGCGGCUGCCCGCAGGCCCUGAAAACCAGUGGCGGGCUCGCUAGUCACACCGAGCGCAGUAAUACAUCUCGCUUUGGGCGUGCGGCGGGUUCUUGCCGUUAAACACCCCCUUUUUACCAAGGUUGACCUCGGAUCAGGUAGGAAUACCCGCUGAACUUAAGCAUAUCAAUAAGCGAGGA